rnacentral:rRNA from 1 species
AGCGUAUAUUAAAGUUGUUGCAGUUAAAAAGCUCGUAGUUGAAUUUCGGGGUUAGUAGGUUGGUCAUGCCUCUGGUAUGUACUGGUCUCACUGAUUCCUCCUUCCUGAUGAGCCGUAAUGCCAUUAAUUUGGUGUUGCGGGGAAUUUGGACUGUUACUUUGAAAAAAUUAGAGUGUUUAAAGCAAGCUAACGCUUGAAUACAUUAGCAUGGAAUAAUGAAAUAGGACGUUCGAUCCUAUUUUGUUGGUUUCUAGGAUUGACGUAAUGAUUAAUAGGGAUAGUUGGGGGCAUUAGUAUUCAAUUGUCAGAGGUGAAAUUCUUGGAUUUAUUGAAGACUAACUACUGCGAAAGCAUUUGCCAAGGAUGUUUUCAUUAAUCAAGAACGAAAGUUAGGGGAUCGAAGACGAUCAGAUACCGUCGUAGUCUUAACCAUAAACUAUGCCGACUAGGGAUCGGAUGAUGUUAAUUUUUUAAUGACUC